UACGUAGGGUGCGAGCGUUGUCCGGAAUUACUGGGCGUAAAGGGCUCGUAGGCGGUCUGUCACGUCGGGAGUGAAAACUCAGGGCUUAACCCUGAGCCUGCUUCCGAUACGGGCAGACUAGAGGUAUGCAGGGGAGAACGGAAUUCCUGGUGGUAGCGGUGAAAAUGCGCAGAUAUCAGGAGGAACACCGGUGGCGAAGGCGGAUCUCUGGGCCUGUCCUGACGCUGAGGCGCGAAAGCUAGGGGAGCGAACAGG
rnacentral:rRNA from 1 species